rnacentral:rRNA from 1 species
UCGAUGAAUGCUAGGUGUUGGAGGGUUUCCGCCCUUCAGUGCCGCAGCUAACGCAUUAAGCAUUCCGCCUGGGGAGUACGACCGCAAGGUUGAAACUCAAAGGAAUUGACGGGGGCCCGCACAAGCGGUGGAGCAUGUGGUUUAAUUCGAAGCAACGCGAAGAACCUUACCAGGUCUUGACAUCUUUUGAUCACCUGAGAGAUCAGGUUUCCCCUUCGGGGGCAAAAUGACAGGUGGUGCAUGGUUGUCGUCAGCUCGUGUCGUGAGAUGUUGGGUUAAGUCCCGCAACGAGCGCAACCCUUAUGACUAGUUGCCAGCAUUUAGUUGGGCACUCUAGUAAGACUGCCGGUGACAAACCGGAGGAAGGUGGGGAUGACGUCAAAUCAUCAUGCCCCUUAUGACCUGGGCUACACACGUGCUACAAUGGAUGGUACAACGAGUUGCGAGACCGCGAGGUCAAGCUAAUCUCUUAAAGCCAUUCUCAGUUCGGACUGUAGGCUGCAACUCGCCUACACGAAGUCGGAAUCGCUAGUAAUCGCGGAUCAGCACGCCGCGGUGAAUACGUUCCCGGGCCUUGUACACACCGCCCGUCACACCAUGAGAGUUUGUAACACCCGAAGCCGGUGGCGUAACCCUUAGGA